UACGGGGGGGGCAAGCGUUGUUCGGAAUUACUGGGCGUAAAGGGCUCGUAGGCGGCCAACUAAGUCAGACGUGAAAUCCCUAGGCUCAACCUAGGAACUGCGUCUGAUACUGGAUGGCUUGAAUCCGGGAGAGGGAUGCAGAAUUCCAGGUGUAGCGGUGAAAUGCGUAGAUAUCUGGAGGAAUACCGGUGGCGAAGGCGGCAUCCUGGACCGGCAUUGACGCUGAGGAGCGAAAGCCAGGGGAGCAAAAGGG
rnacentral:rRNA from 1 species